AAGCAGUGGGAGCACAGGUUUACCUGUGUGACUGCGUACCUUUUGUAUAAUGGGUCAGCGACUUAUAUUCUGUAGCAAGGUUAACCGAAUAGGGGAGCCGGAGGGAAACCGAGUCUUAAUUGGGCGUUAAGUUGCAGGGUAUAGACCCGAAACCCGGUGAUCUAGCCAUGGGCAGGUUGAAGGUUGGGUAACACUAACUGGAGGACCGAACCGACUAAUGUUGAAAAAUUAGCGGAUGACCUGUGGCUGGGGGUGAAAGGCCAAUCAAACCGGGAGAUAGCUGGUUCUCCCCGAAAGCUAUUUAGGUAGCGCCUCGUGAAUUCAUCUCCGGGGGUAGAGCACUGUUUCGGCUAGGGGGCCAUCCCGGCUUACCAACCCGAUGCAAACUGCGAAUACCGGAGAAUGUUAUCACGGGAGACACACGGCGGGUGCUAACGUCCGUCGUGAAGAGGGAAACAACCCAGACCGCCAGCUAAGGUCCCAAAGUCAUGGUUAAGUGGGAAACGAUGUGGGAAGGCCCAGACAGCCAGGAUGUUGGCUUAGAAGCAGCCAUCAUUUAAAGAAAGCGUAAUAGCUCACUGGUCGAGUCGGCCUGCGCGGAAGAUGUAACGGGGCUAAACCAU
rnacentral:rRNA from 1 species